GCUUCUGUUUUUUUCCUCUUUAACUCAGUUGCUUCCACUCAUUCAAACAUAGGCUAAGAUUGAGAUUGUAGUGGAGUUCUUGUCGAAACAAGCAGAACUUUCGUUCCCUUCAUCCUGUUUUAGGGUUGUGGUAUUCCUCUCCACCAAGGGCUCUCUCCUAAUCAAGAGAAGUAGCAGUUUCGAGGUUUGCAUGUGUGAGCAAGUGAGAAACCUAUUGCUCUCGCUCAAGUGAGCAACCCUCGCCUAAGAAAGAAUAACAGAAAACUCAUCCAGACUUCUGCUCGAGUUGUCACUCAGACGAGAAGCUUCAGUUUUGAGCAACGAGAAAUCUCGCUCAGGCGAGAAGGUCUCGCUUAAGCGAGAACCCGCAGAACCUCACAGUGCCCACUAUGCGAGCUGGCGAGAAUGACUAGCUUAAGCGAGAGAACUUUUGUCGCUUAAGUGAAGUCUUUUAGCGUAUGCGAGACUGGUGCAGGGACAGUGUUUUUCUUUUCGCGAUGAUCACCAAUGUUGGUGUGAACAAAUGGGGAGACUCAUGGUGAUCGUCCAGAUGAUGGAGAUGAUGUUGUUGAUAGUAGGUUUUAGUUAUUUCUUUUUUUAGCACCUUUGGAACAAACUGAUCUUAUGUAAUUUCUGGCUCGGUUGGGCAAAUCUUUUGAU